rnacentral:tRNA from 1 species
GCGGGAGUGCCGGAGUGGUCAAACGGGCUAGCUUAAGGAGCUAGUAGCUCAGUGCUUACGCAGGUUCAAACCCUGUCUCCCGCA